rnacentral:rRNA from 1 species
GAUGAACGCUAGCUACAGGCUUAACACAUGCAAGUCGAGGGGCAGCAUGGUCUUAGCUUGCUAAGGCCGAUGGCGACCGGCGCACGGGUGAGUAACACGUAUCCAACCUGCCGUCUACUCUUGGACAGCCUUCUGAAAGGAAGAUUAAUACAAGAUGGCAUCAUGAGUCCGCAUGUUCACAUGAUUAAAGGUAUUCCGGUAGACGAUGGGGAUGCGUUCCAUUAGAUAGUAGGCGGGGUAACGGCCCACCUAGUCUUCGAUGGAUAGGGGUUCUGAGAGGAAGGUCCCCCACAUUGGAACUGAGACACGGUCCAAACUCCUACGGGAGGCAGCAGUGAGGAAUAUUGGUCAAUGGGCGAGAGCCUGAACCAGCCAAGUAGCGUGAAGGAUGACUGCCCUAUGGGUUGUAAACUUCUUUUAUAAAGGAAUAAAGUCGGGUAUGGAUACCCGUUUGCAUGUACUUUAUGAAUAAGGAUCGGCUAACUCCGUGCCAGCAGCCG